ACCCGCUGAACUUAAGCAUAUCAAUAAGCGGAGGAAAAGAAACCAACAGGGAUUGCCCUAGUAACGGCGAGUGAAGCGGCAACAGCUCAAAUUUGAAAUCUGGCGUCUUUGGCGUCCGAGUUGUAAUUUGCAGAGGGCGCUUUGGCAUUGGCAGCGGUCCAAGUUCCUUGGAACAGGACGUCACAGAGGGUGAGAAUCCCGUACGUGGUCGCUAGCCUUUACCGUGUAAAGCCCCUUCGACGAGUCGAGUUGUUUGGGAAUGCAGCUCUAAAUGGGAGGUAAAUUUCUUCUAAAGCUAAAUACUGGCCAGAGACCGAUAGCGCACAAGUAGAGUGAUCGAAAGAUGAAAAGCACUUUGGAAAGAGAGUUAAAAAGCACGUGAAAUUGUUGAAAGGGAAGCGCUUGCAGCCAGACUUGCCUGUAGUUGCUCAUCCGGGUUUUUACCCGGUGCACUCUUCUAUAGGCAGGCCAGCAUCAGUUUGGGCGGUUGGAUAAAGGUCUCUGUCAUGUACCUCUCUUCGGGGAGAACUUAUAGGGGAGACGACAUGCAACCAGCCCGGACUGAGGUCCGCGCAUCGGCUAGGAUGCUGGCGUAAUGGCUGU
rnacentral:rRNA from 1 species